rnacentral:SRP_RNA from 1 species
CUAACCGGGGACAUAGCGGAGCCUUGUACCUGCAAUCCGCUACAGCAGGGGUGAAUUCCCGUUCUGAGGGAAAUUUUCGUGCGGUCUUGCUUUUUGUUUUUCCGUGUUGAGACGCGAGUCUUGCGCAAUCGGCUCUCUCGAACCAUGUCAGGUGGGGAACCAAGCAGCAUUAAGGGAUGCUUGCCGAUGUGCCGCAGGGGCGCUUGCGUUGAGCGGAGAGCAAAGGUUGCGCGCACGGCGA